rnacentral:rRNA from 1 species
GAGUUUGAUCCUGGCUCAGGACGAACGCUGGCGGCGUGCCUAACACAUGCAAGUCGAGCGAAGAUGUAUCUUCGGAUAUAUCUUAGCGGCGGACGGGUGAGUAACACGUGGGCAACCUGCCUUAGUGAGGGGGAUAGCCUUCCGAAAGGAAGAUUAAUACCGCAUAAUAUAUCGAUAUCACAUGGUAUUGAUAUCAAAGGAGUAAUCUGCACUAAGAUGGGCCCGCGGCGCAUUAGCUAGUUGGUGAGGUAACGGCUCACCAAGGCCACGAUGCGUAGCCGACCUGAGAGGGUGAUCGGCCACAUUGGAACUGAGACACGGUCCAGACUCCUACGGGAGGCAGCAGUGGGAAUAUUGCACAAUGGGGGAAACCCUGAUGCAGCAACGCCGCGUGAGUGAAGAAGGUCUUCGGAUCGUAAAGCUC